CCGAACCGACUAAUGUUGAAAAAUUAGCGGAUGACCUGUGGCUGGGGGUGAAAGGCCAAUCAAACCGGGAGAUAGCUGGUUCUCCCCGAAAGCUAUUUAGGUAGCGCCUCGUGAAUUCAUCUCCGGGGGUAGAGCACUGUUUCGGCUAGGGGGCCAUCCCGGCUUACCAACCCGAUGCAAACUGCGAAUACCGGAGAAUGUUAUCACGGGAGACACACGGCGGGUGCUAACGUCCGUCGUGAAGAGGGAAACAACCCAGACCGCCAGCUAAGGUCCCAAAGUCAUGGUUAAGUGGGAAACGAUGUGGGAAGGCCCAGACAGCCAGGAUGUUGGCUUAGAAGCAGCCAUCAUUUAAAGAAAGCGUAAUAGCUCACUGGUCGAGUCGGCCUGCGCGGAAGAUGUAACGGGGCUAAACCAUGCACCGAAGCUGCGGCAGCGACACUGUGUGUUGUUGGGUAGGGGAGCGUUCUG
rnacentral:rRNA from 1 species